AUGAAUGCUAUGAGCUAGAACUGUCGAGGGCUUGGGAACCCUGGGAUAGUUCAUGAGCUUCGCAAGAUAGUGAAGCAAGAAGGUCCUACCAUGCUUUUCGUCAUGUAGAUAAAGAUUAGGGGGAAAUGUGUGGAAGAUUUGAAGCAUACUUUAGGUUUUUCUGGUUGCUUUGCCAUUAAUAGUGACGGUCUAAGCGGAGGUAUCGGUUUGUUUUGGUCAAAAGAUGUUGAAGUUACUUUGGAUAAUUUCAACAAGUCUCAUAUUGAUGUGAAGGUCAAACAGAAUAAUAAAAUUUGGCGCUUUACUAGCUUCUAUGGAGAGCCACACUUGGAGAACCGCCACCACAGUUGA
rnacentral:rRNA from 1 species